rnacentral:rRNA from 1 species
GACGUAGGAUGCAAGCGUUGUCCGGAUUUAUUGGGCGUAAAGAGUUCGUAGGCUGUUUGUUAAGUCUGAUGUUAAAGACUGGGGCUCAACCUCGGAAAUGCAUUGGAUACUGGCAGACUGGAGUGCAGUAGAGGCUAGUGGAAUUCCCAGUGUAGCGGUGAAAUGCGUAGAUAUUGGGAAGAACACCAGUGGCGAAGGCGGCUACCUGGACCAGCACUGACACUGAGGCACGAAAGCGUGGGGAGCAAACAGG